GGGUGACAUUAAUGCGAGCCCAGUAAUCACUCAGAGAGAAGAGCUAAGCCCAAGGGUGACUUCAGUCUGAGACAUGGCCAAGUGUCAUAGAAAGUGGAAAAACUGAAUCAACUGUAUAUUUCUCCAGGUGAAAAGGCCACAAAAAUCACAGAUGUUUAAACUUGGAAGGAAACUUCUUAGAAGCACUUUCUUAUAUAUCACAUGAUCCUUUGUGUUGGGACCUACGACUGGAAUUCACUGGGAACUAAAUUUCUCCAAGUACUAUGUGUUCCCCUUUGCUGGAAAAGACUGAGUGGAUGAAGACCCAAGAUUAGAAAACUGAGGAAAAUUAGAGAAGUUGAAAAAUUGACUCAAGAUUUCACAAGUGCUGACUGGUGGAGCUGGGGUUUGAAGUCAGGCCCUUCAUCUCUGGAGCCUGCCUGAUCCGCUCAGCCAGGCUGUCUCCUUUCCAGCAGCCCUGCCCUGGGGACCUGAGGCAAAUCUACAGAAGGUCAAUAAGCUCCUCAAUAAAACAGCAACUGGCACCAACGGCAACUACGUUAACAAUGGUUAAGAAAUAUUGAGAUCUUAA
rnacentral:lncRNA from 1 species